GGCGGAUUCGUCUAACAGGUAAGGACAAGAGGCUUUCAAUCUCUAAAUAUCGGGUUCGAUCCCCAUAUCCGUCA
rnacentral:tRNA from 1 species